GACGUAGGGCGCAAGCGUUGUCCGGAUUUAUUGGGCGUAAAGAGCUCGUAGGCGGCUUGUUGCGUCGACCGUGAAAACCCGUGGCUCAACUGCGGGCUUGCGGUCGAUACGGGCGGGCUAGAGUUCGGUAGGGGAGACGUGGAAUUCCUGUGUAGCGGUGAAAUGCGCAGAUAUCAGGAGGAACACCGGUGGCGAAGGCGGGUCUCUGGGCCGAUACUGACGCUGAGGAGCGAAAGCGUGGGGAGCGAACAGG
rnacentral:rRNA from 1 species